rnacentral:lncRNA from 1 species
GGCCCAUUCUCAGGGAAGUAUCUCUAAAGCUUCCCAUACUGAAAUUCUUCAUCAUCUCACAGGCAUUUUGAAAGCUGAAAAUACUUCAUCCGUAACUCAUGUUCAACCCAUUGAUCAAUCACUGAGUGAGAAUCCAGUGAAAGGAUUGCAUGGGAAUAAUCAUCUGGUUCAUCAAGAUAGUGUUAGUUUGGAACUAUAAAAAUGCUGUAAAAUCUUCUUUUGUUAAGUAUUCUAAAUCAUUAGUUCAUAGAUAUAAGCCUAAUACAU